AGCAGCCGCGGUAAUUCCAGCUCCAAUAGCGUAUAUUAAAGUUGUUGCAGUUAAAAGCUCGUAGUUGAAUUUCGGGGUUAGUAGGUUGGUCAUGCCUCUGGUAUGUACUGGUCUCACUGAUUCCUCCUUCCUGAUGAACCUUAAUGCCAUUUAUUUGGUGUUUUGGGGAAUUUGGACUGUUACUUUGAAAAAUUAGAGUGUUUAAAGCAAGCUAACGCUUGAAUACAUUAGCACGGAAUAAUGAAAUAGGACGUUCGAUCCUAUUUUGUUGGUUUCUAGGAUUGACGCAAUGAUUAAUAGGGAUAGUUGGGGGCAUUAGUAUUCAAUUGUCAGAGGUGAAAUUCUUGGAUUUAUUGAAGACUAACUACUGCGAAAGCAUUUGCCAAGGAUGUUUUCAUUAAUCAAGAACGAAAGUUAGGGGAUCGAAGACGAUCAGAUACCGUCGUAGUCUUAACCAUAAACUAUGCCGACUAGGGAUCGGAUGAUGUUAAUUUUUUAAUGUACUCAUUCGGCGCCUUAC
rnacentral:misc_RNA from 1 species